rnacentral:ncRNA from 1 species
UGAUAGAGGCGCAGUAUAUCAAAAGUAGAUUCAUUCUUGAACGUCAGCCAAGGCGGGAUGUGUCGAAAGGGGUAGCUGCCGAGGACGCUUAAAGGCAAAGAAGUGGUCCGGCGGUGCGGUCAAUAUCCGCAGCGCUGUCGCACGUUGGGUGCGGAGAGCUAUCGA